UGCCCUGUGACUAUAAGUUUAACGGCCGCGGUAUUUUGACCGUGCGAAGGUAGCGCAAUCACUUGUCUUUUAAAUGGAGACCUGUAUGAAUGGCAUAACGAGGGCUUAGCUGUCUCCUUUUUCAAGUCAAUGAAAUUGAUCUCCCCGUGCAGAAGCGGGGAUAAUAGCAUAAGACGAGAAGACCCUAUGAAGCUUUAGAUGUAAGACAGAUCAUGUUAAACACUCCUUAAUAAAGGUUAAAACCAAAUGAAUCCUGUCCCAAUGUCUUUGGUUGGGGCGACCGCGGGGAAACAAAAAACCCCCACGUGGAACGGGAGCAC
rnacentral:rRNA from 1 species